rnacentral:pre_miRNA from 1 species
AAUAAACCAAUUUUUCACUUUUUACCUUUAAUUUUUGACUCUUUGUUUAUUUAAAAUUUUUUACGGUUGAUAUUUUUAUUUUUAUUAGAUGAUAAAUCAUAAAUAGUACUUUACGUGGACUAAUUUUUUUCUAAUUUCUUAAAUUAUUUUCAAAUAAGACGGAUGGUCAAACGUUGGACACGGAAACCGAAGAAUCCGUUUUUU